CAUCACCAAGAUCUGAACCUUCAUUCUCUAUCAAUACCGGAUUCCAGGUAACAAACAGAUCUCUGAACUUCUUAUCUUUUUUCUCAGCUUUGCGGAUUUUCUUCAUAUCUGACCGGGAGAGCUUAGUAUCCUGCACUUGAACAGCUUCUGCAUUCCUACCAGAGAAGCAGGGCUCUUCUUUUGAGGAAGAGGUCCUGAUCUCCUGCUGCUUGAUAGAAGGCAAGUCCUUGGGUUUUUGAAGAACAGUAGGCCGGGCAGCUUCUGGUAGGCGAACAACAGAUCCGGUUUCCUUAUGUAAUACCUUCGGUAACGGAGGAUCAACUUUCUGCGACACCAUGGAAGCUGGAUGGUGAACUCUCUGUGACAUCAUCUUAACAGGUGGAGGAUCAAAUCUUCUCAUAACUCUAGCAGGCGAAGGGUCCACACUUCCCGAAAACUUCAGAGGUAGGCCCGAUCUUCCAACUGGCACCUUAACAGCUGACUGGGGAUCAACAGGAUGUGUGUCCUUAGCUGCAGGCUGGGGGACAAGUCUAUGCAUGGUCUUUGCCGGGGAUUCUGUAAUCAAACAUUUUUGUACUGCUUGGGAGUCACCAUUGACCCUCCGCUGACCAGAGGUAGAUCUCACAUUCAUCUUAUGAUGGCUUGAAUUUUGCUUGCCAGACAGGGAUGAACCUGAUCCCAUUUGUUGGACCAAUGGUUGCUCAAG
rnacentral:lncRNA from 1 species